rnacentral:rRNA from 1 species
UUGGCUUCAUAAGCGGAGGAAAAGAAACUAACUAGGAUUCCCUUAGUAACGGCGAGUGAACCGGGAUGAGCUCAAAUUUAAAAUCUGGCGUCUUUCAGGCGUCCGAGUUGUAAUCUAUAGAGGCGUUUUCCGCGCCGGACCGCGUCCAAGUCUCUUGGAAUAGAGUAUCAAAGAGGGUGACAAUCCCGUACUUGACGCGACAACCGGUGCUCUGUGAUACGUUCUCAAUGAGUCGAGUUGUUUGGGAAUGCAGCUCUAAAUGGGUGGUAAAUUCCAUCUAAGGCUAAAUAUUGGCGAGAGACCGAUAGCGAACAAGUACCGUGAGGGAAAGAUGAAAAGCACUUUGGAAAGAGAGUUAAACAGCACGUGAAAUUGUUAAAAGGGAAACGAUUGAAGUCAGUCGUGUGAAAGGUAUUCAGCCGUCUCUGGCGGUGUAUUUGCCUUUCACGGGUCAACAUCAGUUUGAUCCGGUAGAAAAAGGCAGGAGGAAGGUGGCACCCUCGGGUGUGUUAUAGCCUCUUGUCAUAUGUGCCGGACCAGACUGAGGAACGCAGCUUGCCGCAAGGCCGGGGUUCGCCCACGUACAAGCUUAGGAUGUUGACAUAAUGGCUUUAAACGACCCGUCUUGAACCGGGACCA